UUCCAUUUCUCCUUUCUAUCAAACAAGAUGUCCAAGACCAAAACAAAGAGGAGGCAAGUAAAGAAAUACAUCAUCCAAAUAUGAAUAUCUCCAGUUGUUUGCUCAUCAGUCUCUGUCAGAUAUGAGAUAUCGAGUGAACUUAAACUGAAGCUGUAAAAAAGCUUUUGUAAUGCUGGAAGAAGGAUUGUCGGCAAGGGAGAUGCAAUGACUGCUCACUGUGCUUUUGUUCCUUAUGAAGAUGAUGCAAUUAUAAAGCACAGGAAUAGGUCGAAAAUGUGAUUUCCAUCACGAUUAUGGUGACGGUCGGUGAUCCGUGAGCGGGGAUGGUUGUUGUACCGCCAAAUAUCGGCUCAAACGUUUUUUUUACACUUUUACGAUGCGGGUAGUAUCGGCUUGGUAGAUUUGAAAACCUUUACGACACAGGCGAUACGAUACGAUGUGGGCCUUGUUUUAACACCAUGAGCUCAGGCUUCUCACACAAGCAAUCACGACCAAAAGAAAUUUACUGCCGAUGUCAGUGAAUACGAGAGGAAUGCAGAAAGCUACGAUGAUUAGAGAGACUCAUGAAGGCCUUUCUGCAAGAGCUUACCAUUUUGGAGGUUCCAUUAUUGAAAAGCAAAGCAGUGUUUAUGCAAAUUUGAGGGAGAAAGAAUAUUUUAGUGAGUUAAAAGAUCAGGUCCAGGCAGAAAUUGAAGGUCUAAAGAACUUGAAGCCAGCAAGAUCAAGAGAAAAUACAAGGAAGAGUGCGAGGCGAUAUGAAAGAUAAUUGCUAUGCAGCCCCCUCGGUCUGAAACAGAGAAGACAAUAGUAGGACAUGAGAAAAGAGAAGACAAUAGUAGGACAUGAGAAAGAGAUAGCUGCCUUGAAAGCAGAAUACAUGGCUAGUUCGAGACUAUUGAAACUUCGCAAGAAGCAGAUUUUUUUGCUAUUACAUUUGGUAAGUCAUAAAUCUGCUGUAGAUUUCUUUUUUUGACAGAAAGUAUCUGCUGUAGUCCUUUCCCCCUCUAGUUGGGGAAACUGACCAGUAUCUCAUAUCCAAUCCAAUUACCUGACCCGAACCUGAACAUCACCCAGAUUUCGUGACCCACUUAUAAUGCGAACCGAAACUGAUCAAACCCGACAUUAAUACUAAUGACUGCUAGUGAUAAUUUAUCACAAAUCACAAUAAACAAAGUGAAAAUUUGACCCACUCCGAACCCAAUAUGAACACCCUGUUUGUUACCUAUAGUUGUGAACUGUGACAUGCAAGUUUUUCCAUACACUCUUAAUGUAUGCUGGUUCUACAUUAUGUGGAGUGGUAAUGCAAUUCGAUCAAAAGUACUAUGUAAAAUCCUCAGU